rnacentral:lncRNA from 1 species
UGGUGCAACAGCAGAGUGGAAAGAGAAUGUGUGGAUCAGACAUACCUGGGUGGAAACUGACUUUACCAACGACUGGCUGGCUGCAAGACCUUGGCGAUUAUCCUUAACCUAGCCUCAGUCUCAACCUGUGACACGGCAAUGGCAGCUUAGCGAGGUUAAGCUACUUGAGUCACACCCUUGUCAGGUGGAGGAGCUGAACCUUGGAUGCAGGAGUAUCCGUUUCUACUGUCUGAACUCUUCCUAACUGCUUUGGAAUAACAGAAUGAGGAAAUGCACCCAACGGGAAUUUUGCGUUCACCAUUACCUGCAAAAUGUCGGUGGCUAAUCCCAGCUUUGGCUGACUGUCCUGAUAUCCAGAGCAAUGGUUCCUAAAUUUUGGUCCAUGGUCCAGUGCCAGCUUAGGACCAAGGCAUCACCAGUCUUUGAUGUGAGGAAAAUAAGAACAUAAAAUUGGCCAAGCGUGGUGGCUCAUGGCUGUAAUCCCAAC